ACGUGCCAGCAGCCGCGGUAAUACGUAGGUGGCAAGCGUUAUCCGGAAUUAUUGGGCGUAAAGCGCGCGCAGGCGGUCUCUUAAGUCUGAUGUGAAAGCCCACGGCUCAACCGUGGAGGGUCAUUGGAAACUGGGAGACUUGAGUGCAGGAGAGAAAAGUGGAAUUCCACGUGUAGCGGUGAAAUGCGUAGAGAUGUGGAGGAACACCAGUGGCGAAGGCGGCUUUUUGGCCUGUAACUGACGCUGAGGCGCGAAAGCGUGGGGAGCAAACAGGAUUAGAUACCCUGGUAGUCCACGCCGUAAACGAUGAGUGCUAGGUGUUGGGGGGUUCCACCCUCAGUGCUGAAGUUAACACAUUAAGCAUCUCCGCCUGGGGAGUC
rnacentral:rRNA from 1 species